GUGUCAGCAGCCGCGGUAAUACAGAGGCCACAAGCGUUAGGCGGAAUCACUGGGCUUAAAGCGUGUGUAGGCGGGAUGGUAAGUACUUUGUGAAAUCCCACGGCUUAACCGUGGAAUUGCUUGGUAUACUGCCGUUCUUGAGUCAUCUAGGGGCAGCCGGAACAGAUGGUGGAGCGGUGAAAUGCGUAGAUAUCAUCUGGAACGCCAAUGGUGCAGACAGGCUGCUGGGGAUGUACUGACGCUGAGGCACGAAAGCCAGGGGAGCAAACGGGAUUAGAUACCCCCGUAGUCC
rnacentral:rRNA from 1 species